rnacentral:misc_RNA from 1 species
ACAAACUUGGUCAUUUAGAGGAAGUAAAAGUCGUAACAAGGUUUCCGUAGGUAAGUCGUAGCUUUCUAUCUUACACCCCCUUGCAAUGAAUGCAGACAGCGGACGCGGACAAAACUAGUAGUUUAUUAAUUUAACCUAUUACUUACCACUUAUUAUCUUUUUAUGCUUGAAUAAUAUGCUGACUUUUGUCUUUUAGGUGAACCUGCGGAAGGAUCAUUACAGAGUGUUUACCCCCCGUAAAAAGGGGGGUUGUAACCUCCCGUCCUUUGCUAGGUCCCCCUUCCGGGAGGACUUUUCAAAACUUUCUGCUUCGGCGGGGUUACCCGCCGGAACAUCCUCAAAAUUCUUUGGUUUUGACCAAAACUGUCCGAGAAGCUUUAAAGAAAAUUAUUGAAAACUUUCAACAACGGAUCUCUUGGUUCUGGCAUCGAUGAAGAACGCAGC